CGCGGUAGCUCAGGGGUAGAGCAACCGAUUCGUAAUCGGUAGGGCGUGGGUUCAAAUCCCUCCCGCGG
rnacentral:tRNA from 1 species